CUUGUGGACUGUUAUAAAAACGAGAGUAGCCCAGGCAAAAUCGGACAGGAUGAAGCAAGAA
rnacentral:sRNA from 12 species